rnacentral:rRNA from 1 species
UACAGAGGUCCCGAGCGUUGUUCGGAUUCACUGGGCGUAAAGGGUGCGUAGGUGGCGUAGUAAGUUUGAUGUGAAAGCUCAGGGCUUAACCCUGAAAUGGCAUUGAAUACUACUGUGCUGGAGGUUUGGAGGGGGGACUGGAAUUCUUGGUGUAGCAGUGAAAUGCGUAGAUAUCAAGAGGAACACCAGUGGCGAAGGCGAGUCCCUGGACAACACCUGACACUGAGGCACGAAAGCUAGGGGAGCAAACAGG